rnacentral:lncRNA from 1 species
UUAAAAGUGGUCCCGUUUGGCCACUUAGUUGAUUUGAGGAGGCAGGAGAGUGCGAAUGCCGCACUGCACCAUCUUCUUGCACAGGAGUUGUUCGACGAGUCAUUCGGUCCGUGGGAGAAGGGUUCCACGUUGGUGGACACGACAUACGUUUUGGUGCAUUGGAGUAUUGUUUGGUGACGGGAUUGUGCUUCGGGCCAUCCCCGCAGGGUUUUGAUCCUAAUGUGGAUCACCGAGUUGGGGAGGAGAGUAUAUGGCACCGAGUAUUUAAAGGAAAGAGGGUCGCUGUGAGGGAUCUGCAUAAGCAAUUUACUAAGCAUAAGUUGGGCCGUAGGGCGGAGGAUUAUUUGAAGGUGGCCAACAUUCUGGUGGCGUAUGAUCUCAUCUUUUGUCGGGAUUAUAAAUACGUGCACGAUUGGGUGUGGGCACUGGUCGAGGAGCCUCAGGCAUGGAUCGACUUCCCGUGGGGCUCUUUCUCAUUCCAGAUUUUGUGCAGUGGCAUGACUGUGCUGAAGAAGCAUCCCUUGGAGAUUAGCGGAAAUAGGAGGACGUACCACUUUUAUGGUCCCAUAUGGGCAUUACAGAUUUGGUCGUAUGAGGCCGUUUCAAGGUUGGGCAUCGCCUGUGGGGCUCGAGACACGCGCUUCCAGAUGCCAUGAUGCUUGAUGUGGACGACUUGGAAGUCGCCUGCUGACUUCACCCACUUUUUUCAAUGUGGAGAAGGUAAUUAUUGAUGUUUUAAAGUUUUAAUCCUUUUAUUAUGUUAUAAUUGACGAAUAAUUAAAACUGAUUGAUUCAUUUUUGUGCAGCGCGAUGGUCACCAGACAGCAUUUCUGAUGCUCUUGUGCUGAUCAGACACAAUCAAGAGAUCAUCAGGCUGACCAAAGCAACUCCUCAGUCAGUGGAAGAACCAAGUCCAAGACUCGUCGUUCUCAAUAGAACCAAGCCCAACUUCGAGAGGAAAUAUUCCUUCAUUCCC